AACCAUAGAAACCUGCGGAGUACCUGCGGAAGGAUCAUUAACGAAUGGUCUUUGUACCUUCAAAACCCCUCAAACCAGUGGACAUGAAAAUGUGCUUCGGCGCUCUGGCGCCGCUUUUAUGCUGUAAUUCUGUCAUUUGUGUCUGAAUGCAAAGCAAAGAAUCAAAACUUUUAACAACGGAUCU
rnacentral:misc_RNA from 1 species